UUUACAAACGUUUAGCUAGACAGAAAAGUUCUCGAAGUUCGCACCUCACCCAGAAACCCAGACAGCUUCACCUCUCACUGUGUUCGCCACACUUUGCGGCACUUAGCCCAGGCACUCUGGCAGCCCAGAGGGAGCUCGUCCCCGGAUCAAGCCCAGCAGGCACCGUCGGGAAGCACCGAGUGCGCGGCACGCAGAGCCCGCACCCACCUGGAGCCCGCGCUGGCCCGUGAGCGCCGCGCGCAGCCCUGGCUCCCGCCCGCGUCUCUCCCUCCACACCUCCCCGGGAGCAGAGGGAGCCGGCUCCGGCCUCGGCCAGCCCCAGAGAGGGGGCCCCCACAGCACAGCGGCGGGCUGAAGGGCUCCUCGAGCGUGGCCAGAGCGGAUGCCGAGGCCGAGGAGGCGCCGAGAGCGAGUGAGAGCUGCUAGCACGUUGUCACCUCUCAGGACCACUAGAAAAAAGGGUGACAAUUUGGAUGUGAUUUUUACUUGCAAAGAGUAGGUCUUGUCCAGGACCAGACAACUCUCCAGGUCAGCGGUCUUCUGCACAGCACACUGGAGACCUAGGCUAAGAGAUGCUCUGCCAGCUGGGCUGUGGCAUGUGAAACCCAUCGUCUCUCCAUUCAGAGGAGCAGGGCAAGAGAACCGCACAUCACCUCUUAUAUACUUCUACCCCAAGGAAAAUUGCCGCAUGUCAGAGAAAUGAGGAUGAAUACUUUCCCAUUUAACUUCCCUUCCUUCUUGGAUCUAUGCUCUUACAGUGGGAUUUGGGUACUUUAUCAUUUACAAUUUUGAUUUCAUUUCAACCAUUUAACUGCACUUUAAAUUUCUCCUUUGCUUGCACUUUCUGCCUCAGACUUUAUUUUUAGGACCUCUUACAGUGGAACAUUCAAGGUACACAUUCAAGAUAAAUAUUGAAUCCAGUGAAACACUUUGUGUUGAUAAACCCUGACUUGCCUAGAUAGGAAGGAGCUAAUGGAGCCCACGCAAUUGUGAUAGGGAUGCCUUCUUUUAAAAAUCCUAUUAUAACAUGGAAGAUAUUUUCAAAAAUAAGUAUACCACAGUAGUAUAUUGAAUGCUACAUUAUUUAAAUGCUAAGAAACAAUUUUUUUCAUUAUACUUAAUAAUGGUUAGAACCUUUAAAUUAUUAUAUCCAAGUUUGUCAACAUGUAAAAUUAAAUGAGAAUAGGCUAUAAUAAAAAAGAAUAAAAUGAUGUAAAAUCAGGAAAAGUAAUAAAUGAAAGAGGAGUUGCUGAGCCUGGAAAAGAGGAAGAGAUAUGGCAACUUAGUGACAGUGUGAGGAAGGGGUGUGGGGAGGAGCACUCUGAUGUACUGAUUGCUAUUUACGAUUUCAUCUGUGUAGAUUUUUAAGCAAAAAAAAAAAAAAAAGUUAAAAUUUUACCCAUGGAAAAUUCAGAUAGAUAUAAGAAAUAUAUUCUUUGUAAUCCAAGUGCAUUAUUAAGGAACAACACUGUAGAUUUCCCACUAAUUAUAAAAUGUGAUGAAAAUCUUGGAUGGUUGGAGAGUUAACUUGGCCAUGGGGCAUGAAUCUAUCAUAAAUAAUCUCCAGAUGUCUUGUUCAGCUGUAUUUUCUGAUAACCAAUUAUACUGUAAAAAAAA